rnacentral:rRNA from 1 species
GAUUAACGCGAAGAACCUUACCAAGGCUUGACAUGCACCGGAAACACUCAGAGAUGGGUGCCCCGUAAGGUCGGUGCACAGGUGGUGCAUGGUUGUCGUCAGCUCGUGUCGUGAGAUGUUGGGUUAAGUCCCGCAACGAGCGCAACCCUCGUCCUAUGUUGCCAGCACGUAAUGGUGGGAACUCAUAUGAGACUGCCGGGGUCAACUCGGAGGAAGGUGGGGAUGACGUCAAAUCAUCAUGCCCCUUAUGUCUUGGGCUUCACGCAUGCUACAAUGGCCGGUACAAAGGGCUGCGAUGUCGUAAGGCGGAGCGAAUCCCAAAAAGCCGGUCUCAGUUCG